AAGGACAACCCUCUUCGGUUAUCUGGUUCUAAUGAGGCUUGUUCCCGUGGUGACUAGAUUCUCAGCAGGUGAUUUAUAGCAUCACAUAGUCAUCACCUCCAAAGCGUCUGGUCCUAGAGUGAAGGACGACAGCUUGUGAUCGGGAACAGCUGUGGAAAACAGCCACCAUUCAGCACCAACCCAGCAAUAUCUCUUGGGCACUUGUUUGAGCAGCAAAAGUUGUCGGUUCUCAAUUUGUUCAAUGCUUCAGUUUAUCCCAGCUUUGUUUAUUUCUUUCUUGGACAUAUUUAAUUUUCCUACCGUCUAGGUGUUCUGUAAAAAAAAGAAAAGAUUAUUAUUUUAUUUUUAAAUUUUUUAUUUUAUUUGUAUCAAAAACAAACUCUCAGCAGACGCCAGCUCAGUCUGAAAGCUGCCAUUUUAUGGAAGUGGAUGAACAUACCUCCCCAAAAUUAGGCUCCAUGUAAACAUAGCUACUUUAGCUCAUGUUACACAGCUGUUCCGAUUAAAUGCAUUGCCGCAUGUAGACACCAGAUCAUAUUAGAUCACAUCCCAUUUAAACAGCUAACCCCCAUUUAAAUCAGAAUGAAAAAAAGCCUGCAUGUAAGCUGAGCUAGUGAUUCCCCGACCCACGUGUCCACUAGAGAAGUCUACAACUACUUUUUAUUAGUUCUACCUCUUCAUGUCCUACAUUGUUUUCGCAAUUGCUGCACGGAUGACAGGAUGCAGCUUGCCAUGUCAUUACAUAUCUGGCUUAAGCCACAACUAGAAACUAGAGUGAAGUGAAUUCAAAGGGGUCAAACUAGGCUGGGGAUCUUGUUAGAUGAUGGAAGAUGACCCGACCUCAGAGGACCUAGAGACUGUACAAUGCCCUCGUAUGUGGCUCCUCAAUAUCAGACCAGUUCUUGAAAAGUUGAUAUAAGAUGUAGACAGAAUAGGUAUUGUGUGAGUAGUAGAGCGGAGUAUACGACUUUCUGAGCAAGGACAGACAUUUUUUCUUCUUUCUUCCCCUUUCAUUUUCAUUUUCAGAAGUAGUGCAAGUUUCGUGUAUUUUCUGUGUGAAUUUACAUAAACCUGUAAAAGAACCUUAAACUAAUGGCGUUUAGGUACAUAAAAAUAAGCAUUAUGACGUGAAAGGGUUAUACUUCAAAUUAUUCUUUAAUGAGCUGAGCCUGCCAACUACAAUCAGAUAUAACCAAUGGAUUUACCACAGCCAUGCAUCAUUAAUGGAUCCCACCUCAGGCUAUUAAGGCUCUCCGAGAAAAUGAUAAGCUUUAGGCCACAUCCAAACGUCAUUUGAGUCUCUCUGUGAUUAGGAGAAUCUUCACCGGUUAGAGAAUGGAGCUGUCAGAAAGGAAAUAUAGCCAGUACCCCUCAACCUCCGUAUCAGAUAUGCACAAAAGAGUACAUGGCCAUCUACAGUCCUUUACAAAGAAAUUCAUAGCUAUAAAAAACUUCCCCUUGAAUUGGCAGUCAUUGUCUCAACUCUCCAUCCUCAGGCUAUUCUGCAGAGGCUCUGGUGCAGCUGCCUUUAUCAGAGCAGCCCCCUAAUCAGUAACCGAAUUCUCCCUUAGCAAUCAAGUCCAAGUUCUGGUGGUGAAAUCAGCAGAAAUAAAACACAGCUGAAGAUAAUGAAGGUGUGAGCAAGAGAAUUAAAGACAAGAGUGUGAAAGAAAAAGGCAAGGAAGGAGGAGGCAGAGCAGGAACAGUCCACUAAUUAGACACACCUCUGAAACCUGUUAAGGUACAAGCUGAAAUGACCUUCUCCUGUUGAGAUCGCCCCCUUUUUCGUCACUGAAUAAACAAAUGAAUGGUAAACUGAAA